GCCUUAAAUGAUUGAUAAAUGAAAGCACAUAAUUUAUAGCAUCGUUCUUAAUUAAACAUCCAUUUCAUAAUUUUGUGGGGCAAACUAAAGAGGAACCAGAAAUCAGUGUGAAUAUGAUCGCUGCAUCACGAGCUCUAUAAUGCCUUUAUCAUACGAAUUAGUUGCUCAAGUUAGUAAGAGUCAUCAGCAUAGUAAAUUACACUGUAAAAG